rnacentral:piRNA from 1 species
UGACACUACUGGAGAGACAUACCCUUUG